UACGUAGGGGGCGAGCGUUGUCCGGAUUUAUUGGGCGUAAAAGGCUUGUAGGUGGCCACGUCAAGUCGCGUGUGAAAGCCCCCGGCUCAACUGGGGAGGGUCACGCGAUACUGAUCGACUCGAAGGCAGGAGAGGGUAGUGGAAUUCCCGGUGUAGCGGUGAAAUGCGCAGAUAUCAGGAGGAACACCUGUGGUGUAGACGGCUCUCUGGACAGUAACUGACGCUGAGACACGAAAGCGUGGGUAGCAAACAGG
rnacentral:rRNA from 1 species